UCCAUCAGCUCGAGAUGGCUUUCUUCUGAAAGGUAUAAAGAUCAUCUUGUGACAGGGGUGUUGAGCCUAUUAGAAGUGAAUCUCAUGAAGAGAUAGGCCAAGAAAAGCCCCAAAGCAUUUCUUCUGUGUUAACUCAUAGAUACAGAUACCGUAGCUCUUACUCUACCAAGCCAAUCUCUGCCCACAACUCGGGCAGGCUGCCCAAGGAGGCUGUGGAUGCCCCAUCCCUGGAGGCGUUCAAGGCCUGGCUGGAUGUGGCUCUGGGCAGCCUGGGCUGGCGGUUGGUGAACCUGCACGCAGCGGGGGGUUGGAACGAGAUGAGCAUUGUGGUCCUUGUCAACACAGGCCGUGUUCAUAGAAUCACAGCAUGCAGCUGUUCCUGUCUGCCCAUGAGAAGGUUUCAUCCACGUGGUCAUCCUGGUUGGUUGGCCUGUAGAUCCCCCGCUACGUCAUCUGUCCCUGUCCUCCCUUUAAUCUGUGUCUAUAAAGUCUUGAUGGGCUCCCAUCCGUCCCCAGUCAGAGUUCUGUGUUUCUUCCAGUGCUUGAUGUUCACCAGAUUUUGAGGGUUCUGUUGUUGGUUGUAUUUGUUUUGUUUUUAAGGCACUUCAAGGGAAGUGGUGGAAAAGCAAUGCUAUGAAGUAAAAGACAACUGUCCCAGCGCAGCACGCUGCCAAGUUGCCGUACGAUGUUGCACCUGAACAAGCUCUUAAUCACGGUGAGGUGAGGACGCACCUGGAUGCCUCAAUCCGAGAUGUGAAGGCAGUGACAGACAAGUUCCUGUCUGCCAUCGUUGUUCAGCUGACCAAAUCCCUUACGGGAUGCGUUUCAUCGCCAAGGUACUGAAAGACUCCCGGCAUGACAAGUUUCCUGAUGCUGGCGAGGAUGAGCUUCUGAAGGUAAGGAGCUGAGCAG